GUCUGACUUGUUAUCUGUUCCUUUGCUAUUUUGAUGCUGCUACUUCAUCCAUAGUGAUUUUUCUGCUGUACUUAUCACAUCUGCCUAAAACAUGGUCUUUGUGAGACCAUUAAAAGCAGUCUGUGUUUUGGUUGCACAAGUCUUAAGUUCUGGAACCUAGUGAAAGAUUCCACAAGGGAUGGAAACAGUGGAGACAUGUUCCCAGACACAGAUGGCUGAUUCCACAAGUCCUCCUACUCCAUUAGCCCAUGCUAACUAUUGCAUAGACAAUGCCCCAAGUUCUCAGCAUUCUGGCUGGAUUCAACCCCCCGUCAUUUUGAGCAUAGCCAGAUGCGCUGUGUGGGCCCAGCAUUUGCAGUCCUGAGAUUGGAUCUAAGAACUCCUGCUCACUCACUCACGCCCGAAACCACUGGACAGCUGCUUCCUUUCCCUGCCAACCUCUCCCUUCAGUCCCAGUCUCUCUUCAGACUAAGCUGCUCUGGGCACCCCAAUUCAUUCUCUGUGGUGUCCAGCAUCACCUGUAAUUCCCAGGGGCUAGAACCUGCAUCCUU